rnacentral:lncRNA from 1 species
GUAAGGUUAAGGUUGAGAGAUUCUCAACCCGCAGGUAGGGUAAAAUAGAGUUUUAAUAGAAUUUCAACCCGCGGGUAGGGUUAGCGUAGGAUCCAAACCCUACCCUACCUUACCUAUUGCCAGUCCUAAACGAGUGCGCGAAGAUCAUAUUCUCUCCUAUUCAUACUUGACACGUCUAACUACCACUGUCAUGCUUUUUCGUCGUACCAGUCUUUUCAGUUUUGCUUGAAGGUCAUACUGGUCUUUUUGAAUUUUGGAAUUUUGUGGUAUCUUCUUCCUUUCGAGAUAAGCCCAUAUUACCUAAUUACUAGUUAGAUGUCCAAAAAUAUCCAAUGAAAAAUUGUAGUCUCCCCUGAUCUAAUUUAUUAGAGUUGUCAACCAUAAAUUUAUUCACCUUGCUUUUGUUCUGCUACGGAUCAAGUCGAUGGAGGAUUGGAGGCUCCCUCCAACCUCAAGUAUUGAAGGUUAUGUAAUUCUAUUUUUCUACCGCAGUUGGCAUGAACCAGAGAUUUGUAAUCUGUUGUUGAAGCAGUGCAUCGCUGCUCUUCUUCUUCCGACAGGUCGCCGUCCGCGCAGAAUCAGAAUCGCUCCUUGCAGUGCCAGUGAUGGGUAUUAGCUUCGCCACCUAACGCCAAAGUGAAAGAAUAUUAGCGAUCCAUGCUCUUGCCGUUCACCAAAUGUUCUCAUGACUAAGGAUCAAGAACAAUCGUUACAAGAAAAGUCACGUAUAGGAAUCCUGUUAAGUGAGAGAGAGGCAUAAGUGGUUAGGAUGAUUAAUUUGUUAGUUUUUUAUUUUUGGGAGAGGGGGAGAAGGGUUGACCCAUCCAGGUUGUGUAGUGAGUGUGUUGGUGUAGGUCGGGUUGGUCCGACCCACGCCCAGUCCAAAAAAGAAACCAUAAAUUUGGAUUAGUUGAGUUCGUUGAACUAGGUUAAUUAGAGUUAGGGAUAAAUGGACUAUCAGAUAGCAUAUAUUAUUGCAACUCAAGUUUAGCACAAAGAAAAUUUUCGUUAGUCUCUCCUUAAAUUGUGCUAGAGUUUGAAAUCUUGGUUUAAUAUGAAUAGUAAAAUAUAGAAAUAUAUAUAUAGUAGUAUGUUUGAGAACAUUAUAAUGGUUAAAAUGUUGAUUUAACUUUUAAAA